GACGAACGCUGGCGGCGUGCCUAAUACAUGCAAGUUGAGCGCUGAAGGUUGGUACUUGUACCAACUGGAUGAGCAGCGAACGGGUGAGUAACGCGUGGGGAAUCUGCCUUUGAGCGGGGGACAACAUUUGGAAACGAAUGCUAAUACCGCAUAAAAACUUUAAACACAAGUUUUAAGUUUGAAAGAUGCAAUUGCAUCACUCAAAGAUGAUCCCGCGUUGUAUUAGCUAGUUGGUGAGGUAAAGGCUCACCAAGGCGAUGAUACAUAGCCGACCUGAGAGGGUGAUCGGCCACAUUGGGAAUGAGAAACGGCCCAAACCCCUACGGGAGGCAGCAGUAGGGAAUCUUCGGCAAUGGACGAAAGUCUGACCGAGCAACGCCGCGUGAGUGAAGAAGGUUUUCGGAUCGUAAAACUCUGUUGGUAGGGAAGAACGUUGGUGAGAGGGGAAAGCUCAUCAAGUGACGGUAACUAACCAGAAAGGGACGGCUAACUACGUG
rnacentral:rRNA from 1 species